UCAUCCGACGAGAUGGAGUGUCUGGUGGAA
rnacentral:piRNA from 1 species